GCCCGGGUGGUGGAACUGGCAGACACGCAGCGUUCAGGUCGCUGUAGCCGCAAGGCUGUGGGAGUUCAAAUCUCCCCUCGGGCACCA
rnacentral:tRNA from 1 species